rnacentral:rRNA from 1 species
GACGAACGCUGGCGGCGUGCUUAACACAUGCAAGUCGAACGGAAAGGCCUCUUUCGGGGGGUACUCGAGUGGCGAACGGGUGAGUAACACGUGAGUAACCUGCCCUUGACUUUGUGAUAACUUCAGGAAACUGGGGCUAAUACCCGAUAUGAGCUCCUGCUCCAUGUUGUGGGUUGGAAAGUUUCGGCGGUUGGGGAUGGACUCGCGGCUUAUCAGCUUGUUGGUGGGGUAGUGGCUUACCAAGGGUUUGACGGGUAGCCGGCCUGAGAGGGUGACCGGCCACAUUGGGACUGAGAUACGGCCCAGACUCCUACGGGAGGCAGCAGUGGGGAAUAUUGCACAAUGGGUGGAAGCCUGAUGCAGCAACGCCGUGUGCGGGAUGACGGCCUUCGGGUUGUAAACCGCUUUCGCUCAUGACGAAGCUUUGUGUGACGGUAGUGGGUAAAGAAGCACCGGCUAACUACGUG